CAGGUGGUAACCCUACGGGAAACAUUACAGCAUUACUACGAAACCAAAACUUCCACUUGAAAUCAGAAUUCCGGGGCGUCAUAUUUUAGUCGUACGUGAAUGACGACUUUGCUUGUCGACUACACAGAAAGAAGGGCGCAAUGUCGCCCCUUUUGUUGUCAUGUGGGGGUUUCUUGUAGUUUACACUUUAAAGGAUAUUUAGAAUAAAUGGAGGGGUGACGGUGUGGAUGAGUUGUUGGAUGUACUACACCUCAAUAUAGUUUACUUAUGUAAAUUAGUCUUCGUGGGGUGGUACUUCUGUACUGUGACAUUAAAGAUGUUAAUCCGCUCCACGGGAAUGUUUAUUGCUGCUUUCAUGAUUCCCUCUUGGAUCAGAGGUAUCAAAUCCUAUCGGUGUCGAAAAUUUUCAGUCCAGCUUACACAAGCAAGGAAACUGCCCAGUCGGUACCUUGGUCAGCCAAGUUCAUUUACACAUCCACAUUUACUUAAACCAGGAGAAGUAACUCCAGGGUUGAGCCUGUCAGAAUAUGCCUUGAGAAGAUAUCAACUUAUGCAUCUGAUUAAAGAGGAGGUGAAAGCCACAGGAACAGUAGGAAAUACAGACCAUGCUGUAAUUUUUCUGUCAAAUCCUACCUGUUACAUGACAAAUGAUAUCCCAUAUCAAUUUCACCAGAAUACAAACUUCCUCUACCUCUGUGGCUUUCAGGAACCUGAUAGUAUCUUAAUGCUGAAGACUGCUCCUGGGAAGGACUUGCCUGAUCACAAAUCCAUUCUGUUUGUGCCAAAGAGAGAUCAGAACCGGGAACUGUGGGAUGGACCACGGUCUGGAGUGGAUGGUGCAGCUGCUUUAACUGGAGUCGAUCUUGUUUACACUACAGAAGACUUUAAAUUACUGGUACAAAAGUUGAAAGAUGAAGGAAUAACCAUUUGGUACGAUGCUACCAAACCUACACAUCCUCAGUUGCAUUGUGACUAUCUGAAGCCCCUUCUAGAAAGUAGAUCUCAGUACAAGAACAAAAUUCGAGCUGUCCGACACCUUGUGCAGAACCUCCGACUUUUCAAAUCAGAAGCAGAGAUUGAACUGAUGAAAAACGCAGGGAGAAUCACCUCACAGGCUUUUAUUGAAACAAUGUUUGCAUCCAGAAGUCCAGUUAAUGAAGCACUUUUGUAUGCUAAGUUUGAUUAUGAAUGUCGUGCUCGUGGAGCAGAUAUCCUGGCUUAUCCUCCUGUUGUUGCUGGGGGCAACCGGUCAAACAUUCUUCAUUAUGUGAAAAACAACCAACUCAUCCAGGAUGGUGAGAUGGUGCUGUUGGAUGGAGGCUGUGAAUCAUUUGGUUAUGUCAGUGAUGUCACUCGAACAUGGCCUAUUAAUGGCAGGUUUACAGGUCCCCAGGCAGAGGUGUACCAGGCUGUACUUGAUAUUCAGAAGUCAUGCCUUAGUCUUUGCUCUGUUGGAAUAAGUCUGGAAAACAUAUACACUCUCAUGUUGACAAUGCUUGCACAAAACCUAACGGAGCUGGGGAUAUGUCAGAAGAAACUGAAUAAUGAUGAAGUCUUCAAAGCUGCUCGCAAAUACUGCCCUCACCAUGUAGGACAUUAUUUAGGCAUGGACGUCCAUGACACUCCUGAUAUUUCCAGAUCCUUAUCGCUACAACCAGGCAUGGUAAUUACUAUUGAGCCAGGUAUUUACAUUCCUGAAGAUGAUACUGAAGCUCCAAGGAAGUUCCAAGGAGUUGGUGUGCGCAUUGAAGACGAUGUUGUAAUAACAGAAGAAGGACCACUAAUCCUGUCGGCAGACUGUCCCAAAGAAAUUCAAGAUAUUGAAGGAAUUUGUUCCUCCAGAAAAUGAGACAGUAAUUUUAGGAACCUAACAUCGCACAAGUUUACAGCUAGUGUAUGUUCAUCCUCAUUUUAUCUGCGUUUGUCACUCAAUGGAAAAUCAAAUAGUGUUUACAAAGUGUAUGAUAGAACUACAAGGUACUUACCCAGCUACAUGUCUUGAGAUAAUGCUUAACAAUUUGGAACUGGUUAUCCCUAAAAUACCUCCUGGACCUGCUGCAUUUACUGAAGUCCAGAGAAGCUGAAUUAUCCCUAAAACUCUCCUGGGUCUGCUGCAUUUACUGAAGUCCAGAGAAGCUGAAGUACAUAAGAGGAGUUCACUCAACCAAGGGAAUUCAACAACAAGUGUGAAAAUUUGCAAACCUGCCACUUCAUAGUGUUAUAUCAGUUCAGACCUUUCCAAAGUGUUACAUGUGUCCCUUGUGCUUAAAGGAAACAACGUAUAUUUAUCUCUUCAAAGAAUUCUGGCAACUCUAUCAUGUUAUCUUCAUGAAACAGCCCAGGACUAGAUGUUAAGAUAUUCUAGCUUAAUUUCUGUCACAAUCACCACCCUUUCCAAAAGUAACCAUUCUGUGCUUUCACUUUUUUCGUUUCUUGAACUGGACUUCUCUGUAAACAUGUCCUUAAGUCAAGGAUGUGCCUGCUGCAGAACUGAAUAGUUGAAUACACUUACAUGUGAUGAAUACAAAGAAGUUUAAUUAUGGGUGGCUUCUUUCACAGGGUCAUUAGAUACCUCAGAAGAAACACAGCCUUAUGUAUCCCGCCAAUUUGUGUACUACCUUUAUAAUGUAAGGACAUCGUCAAAAAGGUUGUUUGAUUUUUCUUUUGGCAUCUGAACUUGUCAUUAUGGCAGUGUAGCACUGUACAGUGCCAGUGUGAUAAGACAUCAGAAAUGCAUCAGGAUUUAAAUACUGCCUUCAGUAUUAAGAUUAAGGCAUAUUCAAACACAAUGUAUACACAUUUUCACCGGUAAGAUGCAGUUUGGAGUUGGAUGACAUCAUGGUAAGGAGGAGGCUCCUCAGCUGCGGCUGCAUCAAACUUAGCUUUGCACUUACACACAUAUGUUAAGUAUUAUUUAAAUAUGAACAUCUUAACAAAAGUGUUGUAACCUGUAUAACAUGUCUAUGCUAUCCUGUUUUUCAGGUGGUAGGGAUUGGAAAGUCAGAAGGCAGUUAUGCAUGUAACAUAGUGCAGAUAACCACAAAUAUCUUAAGUAGGGAAUUAUUUCAUCUUCUGCAUUGUUUUUCUGAAGAAUUUUGCAGAGUUUUUUCACACAGAUUUGAAUUUUCUGACUGUUCAAUGUAUACUAAUCCUGCAGGUGAGUUUCUUCAGCUGCACUUUUAAGUAGUGGCAUGUGUUUGUAUAUUUUGUAUUUAUCUACGUCACAUAAGUGCUAUACUUUAAUUUCCAAUGGCUUUCGGGAUGUGGUCAAAUUUCCCAUGGAAAUGUAAGAUGUGGUAAUGGAAUCAUAUUUGAAUAUGUUGAUCUGUAUUUUGAGAUUAUGACAACAGUGCUUUGACAAUCCAUUAAUAUCAUGUGACGGUUUCCAUGCAGACUGCUGUGUAAAAUUAAAAAUAUGUAUUUAUGUAUAAA